GAGAGCUUCUCCACCAAGGCGCACGGCCUCAGCGAGCCCAUCGACGUCUACAGCAAGUGGAUCGACGAGUGCGACGAGGCCAACCAAGGCGUCGCUAGUACUAACGGCGGUGCUUGCAUUGAUCUGUGCCUCCAGAUCGAUCGUCUCCGUCCAUGUUUUUGCCCUUGUUCAGAGAUCGGUACUAGUGAAAUUGGGCGUCAGAGAAAAAUUUAUUUUCUUGACGUCCAAUCACCAAUGAUCCGAUGUACAAACUCGGUUUGGACAGAGUUGUGUCCUCGUGUGUUGGUGCACUAG
rnacentral:rRNA from 1 species